rnacentral:lncRNA from 1 species
UCAUCCCCAGGCAAGCCACAAUACCCACUUGCAUGAUAGUCAUGCAGUAGCCAUGGUUUUCAACUUGAAUAUUUAAUAAAUGUUUGCUUGUUGAAAAGAUGGUUAUCGUUGUUCCGGUGAUGUUCAGAUUUGCAUGUUCACUUUUGUGCUAUGUUGUCUUAUACUCUGUGAUCAUGUUAUACCUGCUAGUAUUACCUUUCAUAUGUUUAUGCUUGUUAGUAGUACAUGUUGAUCUUGGAGAUGGUCAUGCUAGUCAGUAUGCGAUGCUUAGAGGAUAUGAUUUAUUGUUGAUAUGGUGGAAAAUUAUGUGAUACUCUCAUGAUGAUGUUGAUAUCAUGUUCAUGUAUUUUAUCAUGGCUCAGCAUAAUUAAAUUCAAGUUAACUGGAUUAAAUUAAACUUGAACAAACUGUUGGUUGAGUCAUGGUGCCGCUGAAUCGAUGCUGACUAGUGCAACCACGCUUACCGGUAUGGGACGGUCCUAACUAGGUCUAUUGUCGUGCCUCUCGCCCGGGCCUCCAACGAGCGAAGGUUAUGGGCGUGUUGUACCCUGGCCUGGUAAGCAGGCAUAACCUUGUGUGCCCAUAGUUGUUAUAGCUGGCGGAUCCCUGUGUGGGAUCGUUUAUGUUUUGGGGCCAUGACGGUGGUCGUUGUGUCUAGAGGUAGACACGGGGCCACCCAUGACUUAGCUCAGUGAGGAGUGAGUCGGAGUGGCCGGGAGAGUGUCAUGGCAGUAGGACAGUUUUGUCGGAAUGCCGUUGGUCCACUCGAAUGGGAGUGCGAGGCCAUGGGUUCCGUAGUGUGGGUACAGUGUACUAACCUCUGCAGAGUGUAUAUUAAUCUAUCGAUAGCCGCGCCCGCGGAUAAGGGCCCAGGUCGAGAGAAGGUCACACCAUGAGUCAACAGUAAUAAGAAUAAUGUAAUUAAUAACAGUGAGAUAAGUUGGUUGUGAUCGCGGUAAGGAUCACGGGCCAGGUGCUGGUCGGGUUGUGAUCGCCGUAAGGAUCAUGGGCCAUUUAGUGGUCGGGUGGUGAUCACCGUAAGGAUCACGGGCCAAGUGUUGGUCGGGUGGUGAUCGCCGUAAGGAUCACAAUGGUAUCGAGGAUACCGAGUUGUUGUAUAUUCGUGAUGUUGAAUGAGAAUCGUGGGUAAAAGUCAAGCUCCUUGUGGUCAUUUACUGAUUACUACACGGUAUUGUUUAUACCAAGCUUGAUUUGAUCCUGAGAUGAUCGUGUGAUGUCCGAGGUUGGUAAGUGAUGCAUGUGUUGGUUAUGAGGUAACCCGAGCAGAAUAAGUGGUGCACAUGGUGUCAUCAUGUUUCAUGCUAGUAUUAUUGGAUUAAUAUGUUCAUGUUGUGUUAGCUGUAUCAUGUUUAUGUUGGUCAUGCCAUGUUAUGCUGAUGAUAUGAUGAUAAUCCCUAUUUAACCUGUAAUUGCCAUGCUGUUGUUUGUCUUGAAUGCUUCUGGUUAUUGUGAGCUUGCAAGUACAUUCAAUGUACUGACCUAGCGUGUCAUGCCAGCUUGCAGGUCAUUUCAGAUUUGAUUGCUUGCUUGUCGUGGUUUCCGUUCAUGCGAGCUAGGAUCAGCGUUCCAGUCAGAGUCCCUGCGGAGUGGAGUUCACCACCGUCGUCGUUGUUCUGCUGCUAGAGUUAUUCCCCUGCUUCGAGUUGUUCUGCUGCUUGCAUAGAGCAACUGAGGAUGCCGUAGUGUCGUCGUGUCGGUGUUAUUCAAUGUAAUAUCGGAGACUUUGUAUUCAUAUUCGUGUAAUAAUAGAAGGUUGGUUUGUUCUAUGCUAAGCAGUGCCGUAUUCUAGAAGACUUCUCCUUGAUCUCUGGGCUGGAAUACGGGGCGUUCCGGUUUUCUCUGAGCCAGGGUGCCACAGCGCUUGGUAUCAGAGCAGGUCUGGCUGUAGGAUGCCCUAGACGGCAUGAACAUUAGAAAGCGGUAGUAUAGACCCCAGUUGGUUUGUUACACUUGAUUGAUGCAUUUGUUUGUUGCAUAGCAUGCAUAUAGCCUUAGUAUUUGUGAUAACGGUUUAUCUGGUGAGUGUAGCUGGCAUCGGUUCGGAUCCACUACAGCUCAACCUUUGCAUUUCUCCAGUUCCUUUUUCUUUCGGUGUUUGGUGUCAUUUCUAUCCCAGCAGAGUGAUGCCAAGUGAUCCCGACACUGUUUGCAAAAAUGGUGCUCAGGUAUCGCACCGAUGUCUUUCUUUCAGUCCUGCCUAUCAUUUCGGUGAUGGACAUGUUCCUAUCCCGGAUCGUUCUUAUAUUUUGUCGUGUUGGCAACCCUUAAUGAUCUUAGUUAUCAAGAAAGGGCAAUGUUAGCAGCCUUAGUUUUUCCCCGCUAUCCUAUUUCUUGGACGAGUACGGAUCUUUUUCCGUCCGCUUGAUAAUAAUGUGGUUGCGACCUUCGUGUCCCACUACAUGAUUACCGAGUACGUCCUCGCCUCUAAGCUAGUUCAGGUUGCCACCUGGCUAAGCUAGCACUUGGUGUAGCGCUGUUUGCACCAAUUCUUCCACACAUUUAUUUGUCCUCGUGCACAUCGCCACAACAUAUUAGACCGCAACAUCGGAGUUUCUGCGAGAUUUGUGUGCUUAAGUAGGCAUGCAUAUUGUGUGACUAUCAGUAAUAUGUGAUGACUGCUUCAUUAAUUAUAUUAGUAGAAUGCUUGUGUGCUUUUGUUUUAGUCGUUUCUGUUGUUCCUUUCUUUGGGCCUUCGGUGUUACAAAUUUUUCCCCUAUUAAAGUUGCUCGUCAGCCGACACCGGACCCGAAGAGUCAGCAAGAAAUGCUUAUAUUUGGAAACUCGGUUAAACAGAAUGGAAUUAUCAGCUAGCUACAAUGAAAAUUGAAAUAUCUCGUCUGAAUGCAAAAGAAAUCCUGGAUGGACCGUCAGUAUAAAGUUUGCAUUAACGUGCACUCCUCACAACAGUAUGGAAUUCUCAGCCGACUGCAUUCAGAUUGGGGAAUAUCUGAUCCUGUUACUGAGUGUCAAGUCUCCCUCAGCGUGUACUCCUCAUAGCAGAAAUGAUUAAAUCAGCAAGAAGAUAAAUUGUAUGCAGGGUUGACAGAAUAUUAUCAAAGGUAUGGCUCAAAUACAAGUUUAAUUUUUCGUUGAGGAUGAUUUUGGAACUCGAUGUACCUGGAAGCAAGCAAAAAUAUGGCAUAUACUCAGAAAGGAGAAUAGUCCUGCAAAACCCCAUUUCAUGCAAGAAAUCAACAUCAGAAAUAUUAAGAUGGUAUGUAUAUGUGGAAAUCGGUCCGCAUAUCACAAUAAGAAGUUUCUGGUGUAAGCAACCCACUUUUCCCUCGCAAGAUACCCGAGAAGCUUCCACGGAAAGAUUCAUCUAUCUUCUUCAGUACGAUACAUGGAUGAUUUUCUGUACAAGGUACUCUACCUUCUUCAGUAAGCAACCGCAAAAGCUUCCGGCAUAAGGUACUGAGUCUUUCCACAGCAAAGUCUUUAAGGGGGGUAAGCUUCUGAAGCAUGAUAUUCAGUCUUCUUAAGCAAGCUGUCUGAUGAAAGUUUCGAGCACAAGCCAGCAAAUAUUCCUCAGUAAGACAUUGCUACAAGGUAGUACGCUGUGAAUUGACAGCAUAUGGCAGUGAAUCCUAAGAAUCAGGUCCGCAAUAUUUUGGUCAGAAUCAAGAAUCAGUCAGAAUGCACGUCUGUCUCGGGAAUCAGGUUCUCAUAUAUACACAAUGAGCAUACCACCAAGAUCUUACAAGUCACUCGAAUGAGGAUCUGACAACCACGUGAGGAUGGUUAAUAGAAGAAAGCCAGUAUACACCGCAGUGUGACAAAGGAUUAUAAGGAUUGAUGACAUCAAUGAGCUCAAUACAAGUACCCGUGAACCUGGAAAAUGAUCCUGAUGAGCCCUUGUUCCCAUUUCUCCAAUGACGGCACCACGUCUGUGAUCUGAGCUGUUUCUAGCUAUCCGGGGUGGAUGCCUAUUUUUGGUUCUCUCUUCAACAACCGUCACGAGUCUAAGCCGCUUUUCGGCCGUCUCAUAUAGUUGUUGAGUUUCUUUUUGUGACAGUAGCCCUAUAGCUACUUUUUGGCUAUUUUAGGGAGCUGCCACCUUCUUAUCGACCCGGUCUCAUGCUCUGAGCUGCUUUUCGGCCAUCCUGAGCCGUGGUUGAGUUAUUUCAGUAAUGUCCCAGAUCUGAGUUGUAAAGACCAUUCUGGUGGCUACUGAUUUAUUUGCCGAUUUCUUGCAAGGGUUUCGGAUGAUCAUUUCCCAACGAUCAGAACUUGAGAGGUGUUGAACCUGCCAUUUAAUGGGUUACCUUAUCAGAAAAAUGAGGAUAAACUACAAUUGCCGAAAAAUUGCACCGACAAUACCUAUGGUCAUACGAAGAAGCAAUAUGGCCCAGCUCUUUCAGCCAAAGAUCCAGACCAAGAAAACAAUAAUGAAGGAGCAAGACCAGUGAUGUAGGUAUGAAAAUUGUACCCGACCCCAUGGUGCAGAUCCCUCGGAUGGUCUAAGUCAGUAUUGAUCCACAUGGAUAUGCCUACAACAUGAGUAAUCGGCAUGAGGAAUAACAGUCUGGAAGCCUGAGUCCUCACUUAUAUGAAUCGUCAUGGAUAGCCUGUCGUGAACAAAAAUUUUCCGUCAGAACCACCGUUAGUCAAGUCUGUAGAUAUUAUCAUACAUGCCAAACCCUUUAUGUUGACCGCAACUGGAGACAAUCGAAUAUUUGGUACGGAUCCGAUACUCACAAUAGUGGAACCAGUUAAGAUGAUUCAGAAACUUCUGCGAUGAGUCAAAAUCUGUCAGGAAACGGUUAUGUUUUAACUCACUGUUUGAAACCCAAAUGACCUGCAUUUAGUGGAGAAACCCAAUGUAAUGAGUCAAAGCUUGAGUUUUCAUCAGAAAAAAUUGAUUAUCACUUUAUGAAAGGUUGUCAGUGCCGGGUGGCACACCCAGCGGAAAUCACUUUUGGAUUUGUGAGACGGGCACAUAUUUCAGUCGUGAUAAUCAAAUCACACUCAGCUAGUCAGCAUCUAAAAAUAAACUCGAGCCUAUAUAAGUAUGAACAAGCAAGGCAAGAUCUGUCAGAAGGUGGAUAUAGUAAAUAAAAAUACCCCAGGGCCAGUCAAAUAAAGAUUUAGUAGGAACGACAAUAAAAGGAAAAGGAUACCCGAGUUGGAAACGGUUUCCUUAAGUCAGAAUAUUCAUACUUGUUACCUGAGCAACCAAAUCUCGAGGACGAGAUUUCUUUAAGGGGGUAAGGUUUGUGACAGCCUGAUUUUUGGCCUUUUCUUUUUCUUUUGUUUCUCCGAGGUUUUUGCCUGAGUUUUCUUUUUCCGUGGCUUUGUGGUCUGGAAACCGAAGAAGAUGACCUCUUCUUUGCUUCCAGAGUGGCUUUUCAUUCCCAAAUCUUUCCCUUGACCCGGUCAUUUCCAUCCUAGCCCAAAUCCCAAUGUUCUUUUAUUGGAUAUAUUCCUUUUCUGUUAAAGGAAUAACUCAAAUUGCCCUAGGUUGUGAAGCAACCUAUAUUUCCCUCACUCCAAAAAUUCCCAAAUAAUUCUCAUAAAUUGUUUGGGUCAUAUCUUUAUCAAAUAUGGCAAAACUUUUCAUUGCCAUGUUCAAAACUAAUUCCCCAAUAUUCCUUUUCCUAUUCUGCCCAGAAUGGCACUUUGUGAAGGAAGUGGCAUUUAUAUUUCUCCUAUUGACUCCCAACAUUUUUGGGCAUGUUUAUAUGUCCAAAUAAUUACCUCAUGCACAAGUUCAAAUUUAUUUGCCUAGCCAAUCUUCCUCAGUGAAUUUUCAAAGUUUCUAUCAAACAGAAAGUUUUGUGAAGGAAGUACUAGAUAGGAGUACCCAUAUGAGUUGAACUUUUGCACACUCCUUAAUGUGCUCAUAUUAACCCCUUCCACCCAUUUGCAGCACCAUCCAAUCAUCUAUGUGAGCACAGGAGCAAAUCCUUGUUUCUGGCAAUAUUUUCAGGUUGUGAAGCAAGUAUAUUUAAUAUUGCUUCAAAAAUCCCGAUAAAUUACUAGAUCAUUCUUAUACCUAUAAAACAUCUCUCCACCCAUUUUGGCAUCAUUGCAUUGAUCCAUUUGACAACCAUAAUUAUUCCAAGUUUCUGGUCAGCAGAGAUGUUUGUGAAGCAAGUGCUAUUUUGGUUUGUCCAUUUUGCAUGAGCUUUUUUCAGCAUCUUGAUGUGACCAAAUGACUAAGCCUUGCCCAAUUUGAGCUCAAGUGGACACUCCAGGUGAGUGCAUCUUGAUGAUCUUCAUUUCUAGACCAAGUAUGUAGGUGUGAAGCAACUGCAGUAAAUCUUGAUCCUUUUACCAUCAAACUCCCCAGGAAUGUAGUCCUUCCUAGCCUAAACACCCCAGACAACCUAUUUGGCCUCAAGCAAUUCCCUGUUGAUCACAUUGAGCUGGUAAAGUUUACUGCAGUAAACUUCAAAGCUCACUAACUAUUUAACCAGAGCCUCUUUCACCUAGUUACCACCUCAUUUCAAACCACCAUUCGAAGGACUUACCACUAGACAAUGUUUUGGGUGCUAUAGAGCGUUUAAUGUGCUAUGUCGUGUGGUGACCGCGCAGCUGGCAUGCCUGUGCGCAUGCUCUAUACAUUGUGGCGUGUCCAGAGCACUGUUUGUGCUUUGGCACCGCUCCCUCUCGUCGGCUUCGCGCCCGUGAUGAUGUCCAGUAGGUAGCUCUCAUCGUCGCUGCUAUGAUGGACCCCUCUCCCCCUCCGACAGCAUCCUCACCGACGCAAACCGUCGUGCGCCCACGAGAGAUCUGUGGCCGACUGAGCUUUAAUGGCGCUCGGCCUCUUCCUCUGCCCCUCCUUUGGCCUCCUCCUCCUCGUGAAGCUCUGCCCUGUGCCCCCUCGUCAUUUGCCUCCGAGCUCAUGCAUGCGAGCAGGCGUCCGUGGCGCCGGCCACGCGUCCACGGUGACGCCAGCGCGGCUCCCUCUCCCCCUUGGCUAUGUAAGCCCUUCCCCGAGUCCUCCGAGCUCACCUUGAGCCUUGCCUCGCCCCUCUGGUCCUCCUGAGCCCCUUCCCCGAGCCUUUGGAUCCCUCCCUGCUCGCCAUCACUGCCAUGGCCGCCGCGGCCAUCCUCUCGAAUUCGGCCAAGUCGAGCUCCCUCUCCUCCUUCUACCACCACCAGAGCUCCACCCAGUCCUCGAAGACCCUCCCUGCCCUCUCAUCCCAUCGACGGAGCCGCUGUGGCCGUCGUCCCCGAAGAUCCCGCCGCUGGAGCCGGUCUAUCCCCUCUCCGUCAUGGCCACCCCGCUCCUCUCCAGCGUAUCCUCUGCGCGGGGAUGGAUGCGGCAGUCCACGCCGAGCUCGCCGGUGGCCUCCAUUUGGCCGGAGGUGGCCGGAGUCGCCGGGGCCGACGCCGGCAGUGCCCCUGCCUCUGCUUCGGUCGGGCCAGGAAGAGGAGGAAGAAGACGAAGGCGUUGACCCCCUGGAGCCUGCCAGCUGGCCGCGGGCCCCGCUGUGAGCCUCACGACGUUGACCGAUCAGCGCCAGCAUGGAUAAGUGACGGGCCCCACCCGUGGGACCCGCAUGCGUCAGCCCCGCCACUGUUCCUUUGGAUAAGGUGAAAGCGUAUUUUCCCAUAAUGCGUUUUCACUUUUUCUGUUCAAGCCCCUGGUUGAAAUUAUUUUCAUUACAGAUGGGUCCCUGGCAGAAAAAUUUCCAUAUGUUUUUAUCUGUAACUCCGUUUGAGGUGAAUCCAAAGCCCACUUUGUUUUGUCGAGCCCGUUUUGUUGGUCACACUUUCACUAUGGUUUGACACUAUGAAAUUGACCAUUAUGCCCUUGCACUUAUUCAGCCCCCUCCGAGAGAGUAUGUUUUCCGGCGAUUCGUUCCGCGAGUUUCUGACACUUCUCCCUGGUGCCUUCUUCAUCCCCAGGCAAGCCACAAUACCCACUUGCAUGAUAGUCAUGCAGUAGCCAUGGUUUUCAACUUGAAUAUUUAAUAAAUGUUUGCUUGUUGAAAAGAUUGUUAUCGUUGUUCCGGUGAUGUUCAGAUUUGCAUGUUCACUUCUGUGCUAUGUUGUCUUAUACUCUGUGAUCAUGUUAUACCUGCUAGUAUUACCUUUCAUAUGUUUAUGCUUGUUAGUAGUACAUGUUGAUGUUGGAGAUG